UACGGAGGGUGCAAGCGUUAUCCGGAUUCACUGGGUUUAAAGGGUGCGUAGGCGGGUUAUUAAGUCAGUGGUGAAAGCCUUCAGCUUAACUGAAGAAUUGCCAUUGAUACUGAUGAUCUUGAGUGUGAUUGAGGUGGGCGGAAUGUGUCAUGUAGCGGUGAAAUGCUUAGAUAUGACACAGAACACCGAUUGCGAAGGCAGCUCACUAAGUCACAACUGACGCUGAUGCACGAAAGCGUGGGGAGCAAACAGG
rnacentral:rRNA from 1 species